rnacentral:tRNA from 2 species
GGAGAGGUGGCCGAGUGGUCGAUGGCGCACGCCUGGAAAGUGUGUAGACGUUAACGCGUCUCCAGGGUUCGAAUCCCUGUCUCUCCGCCA